UACGGGGGGGGCAAGCGUUGUUCGGAAUUACUGGGCGUAAAGGGCUCGUAGGCGGCCAACUAAGUCAGACGUGAAAUCCCCAGGCUCAACCUGGGAACUGCGUCUGAUACUGGAUGGCUUGAAUUCGGGAGAGGGAUGCAGAAUUCCAGGUGUAGCGGUGAAAUGCGUAGAUAUCUGGAGGAAUACCGGUGGCGAAGGCGGCAUCCUGGACCGACAUUGACGCUGAUGAGCGAAAGCUAGGGGGGCAAACGGG
rnacentral:rRNA from 1 species